rnacentral:rRNA from 1 species
CAGUCGCCACGGUAAUACAGAGGGUGCAAGCGUUAAUCGGAAUUACUGGGCGUAAAGCGCGCGUAGGUGGUUUGUUAAGUUGGAUGUGAAAUCCCCGGGCUCAACCUGGGAACUGCAUCCAAAACUGGCAAGCUAGAGUAUGGUAGAGGGUGGUGGAAUUUCCUGUGUAGCGGUGAAAUGCGUAGAUAUAGUAAGGAACACCAGUGGCGAAGGCGACCACCUGGACUGAUACUGACACUGAGGUGCGAAAGCGUGGGGAGCAAACAGGAUUAGAGACCCCAGUAGUCCCUGUCUCUUAUAU